rnacentral:rRNA from 1 species
UACUCCUACGGGAGGCAGCAGUGGGGAAUCUUGCGCAAUGGGCGAAAGCCUGACGCAGCCAUGCCGCGUGAAUGAUGAAGGUCUUAGGAUUGUAAAAUUCUUUCACCGGGGACGAUAAUGACGGUACCCGGAGAAGAAGCCCCGGCUAACUUCGUGCCAGCAGCCGCGGUAAUACGAAGGGGGCUAGCGUUGCUCGGAAUUACUGGGCGUAAAGGGCGCGUAGGCGGACAUUUAAGUCAGGGGUGAAAUCCCAGAGCUCAACUCUGGAACUGCCUUUGAUACUGGGUGUCUUGAGUGUGAGAGAGGUAUGUGGAACUCCGAGUGUAGAGGUGAAAUUCGUAGAUAUUCGGAAGAACACCAGUGGCGAAGGCGACAUACUGGCUCAUUACUGACGCUGAGGCGCGAAAGCGUGGGGAGCAAACAGGAUUAGAUACCCUGGUAGUC